rnacentral:rRNA from 1 species
UACGGAGGGGGCUAGCGUUGUUCGGAAUUACUGGGCGUAAAGCGCGCGUAGGCGGCUUUGUAAGUUAGAGGUGAAAGCCCGGGGCUCAACUCCGGAAUUGCCUUUAAGACUGCAUCGCUAGAAUCGUGGAGAGGUAAGUGGAAUUCCGAGUGUAGAGGUGAAAUUCGUAGAUAUUCGGAAGAACACCAGUGGCGAAGGCGACUUACUGGACACGUAUUGACGCUGAGGUGCGAAAGCGUGGGGAGCAAACAGG